CCUGGCGGCUGUAGCGCGGUGGUCCCACCUGACCCCAUGCCGAACUCAGAAGUGAAACGCCGUAGCGCCGAUGGUAGUGUGGGGUCUCCCCAUGCGAGAGUAGGG
rnacentral:rRNA from 2 species